UAAGCGGAGGAAAAGAAACUAACAAGGAUUCCCCUAGUAACUGCGAGUGNAGCGGGAAAAGCUCAAAUUUAAAAUCUGGCGGUCUUUGGCCGUCCGAGUUGUAAUUUAGAGAAGCGUCUUCCGCGCCGGACCGUGCACAAGUCUCCUGGAAUGGAGCGUCAUAGAGGGUGAGAAUCCCGUCUUUGGCACGGAUGCCUGGUGCUCUGUGAUGCGCUCUCGAAGAGUCGAGUUGUUUGGGAAUGCAGCUCAAAAUGGGUGGUGAACUCCAUCUAAAGCUAAAUAUUGGCGAGAGACCGAUAGCGAACAAGUACCGUGAGGGAAAGAUGAAAAGCACUUUGGAAAGAGAGUGAAACAGUACGUGAAAUUGUUGAAAGGGAAACGCUUGAAGUCAGUCGCGUCGACCGAGACUCAGCCUUGCCUCGGCUUGGUGUACUUCUCGGCCCGACGGGUCAGCGUCAAUUUUGCCCCUCGGAUAAUGGCAAGGGAAAGGUGGCACCUUUACGGGUGUGUUAUAGUCUCCUGUCGCAUGCGAGGGUUGGGAUUGAGGAACUCAGCGCGCACCUUUGGUGUCGGGGCUUCGGCCCACGUCACGCGCUUAGGAUGCUGGCGUAAUGGCUUUAAACNACC
rnacentral:rRNA from 1 species